AAUUAUUGAAAAAGAGCCUCAAAUAUUUAUGUAGUCAAUUCAUUUGCAAACAUAAAGUGAGAGAUUUCUCAGGAGUGCGUUUUAUCAGCUAAUUAGAAGCACUAGAAAUAUAACAAAAACUGUGCACUCAAUCAUGUAGUGCACAAUAUAUUUUAGAUUAGCGCAAAUUAGUUCCUGCUAACUUGUUUCAUAUUCAACCAGGAUUUAUCAAAAAGUAUUAUAUGUUAUUCUGAUAAAAAAAUUGGAACCCUGAACUUUUCCUUAUCCGACAGUCGGUAAAACAAACUUUGAAAUAACUGUACAUACAAAAUCAAGGGCAGGGGGGUAGGGGAACACACACUACACGAUACGCAUACGUGUGUCGUGUACUCCAUUAUAUCCAUCAUCUAAUCUAUCUGUUGCUCAGGCCGCUCAGGCCUACUGCCGCGCAACCCUUCUUCCAUCGAGAUUUUUUUUUCUAUCACGACAUGCAGCAAUCCGGUCUGUUCAUGCGGACGCAGACUAUGUAUAUCUCUGAUAUGUGUGACACGCGAGUGCACCAUUCAUCGAACAUGUCAAUAACUUUGUUUCAAUGAACUCUCGUUCAGCAGAAUCUUUAAUCUCGUGAAUGAAUAAAAUUGAGCUAUUUUACUGAAUUUCAAAGUGCUUUCAUGCAUCAGCUGUGAUUUGUGUCAUUAUUUAUUUUAUUAUCGUUAAUAUUAUUAUUCUCAUAUCGGAGUAUCGUGUAUCUCGGCCUUUUCCUGUUCCGGUAAAGUUUUAUCCCUCUCAGAAAUGGAAACAACCGCAGAAUUUGACAAAAUCUAUGAUACACAGUUCUGUAUCAUAUAGAAUAAAAACCAAAAUUUGUUUUUUGAAGAGGAUCAACAACAUGAAAGACUUUUUCAACAGUCUGAACAUAUUUACUGGAACUGAAGGAAAGUUGAGAGAACUCUACAAAUUUAUUCAAUUACAUUUAAAUUAAUGUAAAAUAAAGUCUCCCAAAUAAAAUCAACAUAGCUCAGCAUCAAUAUUCAAAAAGAUCAAGACUGAUCAGAAAAAUGGACGGAAUUAUACCAGAAAUGGAACAGAUCAUUAGCCAGCUGGAACGAGGAACCGUUGUGACAAAAUUUUUUCAAAGAAGGCGACCUGAGAAAAAGACUCUACUGAUACGGCGUGAAACUCGACAAAUUGUUUGGUCAAGAAGCGCAAGCGCCAGGCCCUUUGAUGGAUCUGUCGAAAUACGAGAAGUCAAAGAGAUCAGAAUUGGAAAAAGUUCCAAGGACUUUGAAAAAUGGCCCGAAGAUGCGAAGAGGAUCGAAAAUUUACGGUGUUUCGUAGUUUAUUAUGGAUCGGAAUUUCGUCUGAAAACUUUGUCGAUAUCUGCUCUCAGCGAGAAGGAAUGUGAAUUAUGGGUGAAGGGCUUGCGACAUUUGGUACAAGAUACUAUAGAUGCUCCGUAUCCAUUGCUGGUCGAAAGAUGGCUGAGGAAAGAAUUUUACGCAAUGGAAAAUAUGAGAGAAACAGUGACAUUGAAAGAUGUCAAAACGUUUUUACCGAAAAUCAAUUGCAAAGUAUCAACGAAUAAGCUACGAGAGCUUUUUCAAGAAGUGGAUACACGUAACAGGACUGAAUUGGGAUUUGACGAUUUCGUUCUUUUGUACAACAAGUUGAUGUCUGAUUAUACACCUUUCUCUGAUCAAAAUACUCUGAUGAGCUACUCGAGCGACUCGAAAGGGUUUGAAUUGCAAGAAUUUCAAAAUUUUCUCAUCAAUGAACAAAACGAUCCCACUGGUCACGAUUCCUCCAAAGUAUCACGUUUCAUCCGUGAAUAUUUACAAGACCCGCAACGAGAUGUCCAAGAUCCUUACUUCACACUCUCUGAAUUUGUUGAUUUUUUGUUUUCGAAACAAAACGAUAUUUGGGAUCCGAGUUACGAUCAUGUUUCCCAAGACAUGACGAGGCCUCUGUCUCACUAUUGGAUCGCAUCGUCACACAAUACGUAUUUGAUGGGCGAUCAAAUAAGUAGCGAGAGCAGUUGUCAAGCUUACGUGAGAGCAUUGAGAUCAGGCUGUCGAUGUAUAGAACUGGAUUGCUGGGACGGUCCGGAUGGAAUGCCUUUUAUUUUUCAUGGACACACAUUGACGACAAAAAUCAAAUUCUUAGAAGUCAUUAAGACAAUAAAAGAACACGCGUUCGUGACAUCGGAAUAUCCCGUGAUUCUUUCCAUUGAAGACAAUUGCACGUUGCCCCAACAAAGAAAAAUGGCAGCUGCGAUGCAAGAAGUUUUUGGAGAUGCUUUGCUGACCCAACCGGUCGACAAAAACGAAACGUGUUUGCCAUCGCCUUAUGCAUUGCGACGACGAAUAUUGUUGAAGCACAAAAAACUUCCGGAUGGCGUUGACGAAAGCACAUUCGUCGUCCACACGAAUGACAGCAAACAGGAAAUGGAUCUUCGAAAUACAGUGAAAAAUGGGAUCCUCUAUCUGGAGGAACCGAUCGAAAGGGAUUGGAAUCCACACUUUUUCGUAUUGACUCAGAGGAAAUUGUUCUACACUGACACGUUUUCAAGGAGCACGGACAUGGAACACGAUGAGGACGAAGAUGGCACGAUUCAUCGCCCUUCGGAGGGAGUGCCAAACGACGAGUUGCACUUUGGUGAGAAAUGGUUCCACGGAAAAUUGGGUCGAGGCCGAGAAGAAGCUGAAGAAUUAUUGCGACGUUAUUCGCAUCUCGGAGACGGGACUUUUCUCGUACGCCAAUGUGUAACAUUCGUCGGUGAUUAUUGCUUAUCUUUUUGGCGAAAGGGCAAAGUAAAUCAUUGUCGAAUCAAGUUAAAGCAAGAAAUGGGUCAAACGCAGUUUUACCUGAUCGACACGAACUGCUUCGACAGCUUGUACAGCCUCAUAACGCAUUACCGAAAUCACCCCCUUAGGAGUCAAGAGUUCUUGAUAACCCUACAAGAACCUGUUCCUCAACCGAGUAAACACGAGGAAAAAGAAUGGUGGCAUUCCCAAUGCACGAGAACACUUGCCGAAGAAAUGUUGAAACGCGUUCCUUACGACGGCGCUUUUCUAGUCAGACCGAGCGAAAAGGAAUCUAAUUCUUAUGCAAUAUCAUUUAGAGCGGACAAGGAGAUAAAACACUGCAGGAUCAAGUUAGAAGGUCGUUUGUUCAUGAUAGGGACAGUGCAAUUUGAGAGUUUGGUCGAAUUAGUCAGUUACUACGAGCGACAUCCGCUUUACAAAAAAAUCAAGCUUUGCCAUCCGGUGAAUCAGGAGGUGCUGAGACGAGUAGGAUUGGAAGAAGGAGAUGGAAGUGUUUACGGAAUUCCUGGCUACAUGGAUCCGACGGGAUUCGCUUCGAAGGUAACUGUGAAGGCAAUUUAUGACUACAAAGCUCGGAGAGAGGAUGAAUUGACUUUAGUAAAACACGCUAUAAUUACGAACGUAAAUCGCCAAGAUGGUGGUUGGUGGCGAGGUGACUACGGUGGCAAAAAGCAGCAUUGGUUUCCUGCCAAUUAUGUGGAAGAAAUCGAUUACCAGGAGAAUCAAACUGACUCAUCGGAUUCGUUGAUGCUGGGAAAUUUGCAAAAGGGGUCGUUGGACAUAAUGGGAGCUGUUGUAGAAUUAUCCGUCGGUGACAAACCAGGAUUCGACUGGAUUCUAAGAAUACAGAAUCCGAGCAUGUGCUCCGUAUUCGAAGCUGCAACACCCUCCAAAGAUAUCGCUUUGGAGUGGAUGGCAAAAAUCAAGGAAACUGCACAAAACGCCAGUGUUCGGGAAAAUCAACACAAAGAAAUGGAACGUGCUUGGAGAAUAGCGAAGGAAAUGUCGAAUCUGAUAGUUUAUUGUCGAUCGGUCGCAUUUAAUACCGAUAAAAUGAAAUCGAAAGGGUUCGUUUUCCAAGAAAUGAGCAGCUUCCCUGAAACCAAAGCGGAAAAGCUCAUUUGCCAGCAGGAAAAUGCAUUUUUCCUCAAAUAUCAUCAGAUCCAAUUCAGUCGAGUUUAUCCAAAAGGUCAAAGAAUAGAUUCGUCGAACUAUAAUCCAGUUCCUAUGUGGAAUUCCGGAUGUCAAAUGGUAGCACUUAAUUAUCAGACCGGUGACAAGCCUAUGCAAUUGAAUCAAGCUAAAUUUCGUCAAAAUGGAAAUUGCGGUUACGUAAUUAAGCCUGAUUUCAUGUUCCGAGACGAAUUCAGUCCUUACGAUAGAUGUUGUCUGCAUGAUCUCGAAUCUCUCAUGAUUAGCUUGAAAAUCAUAGGAGCGAGGCAUUUGAGCAAACCUGGGAGAGGUACAGCGAGUCCUUUCGUCGAAGUUGAAGUCGUUGGUGCGGAGUUUGAUAGUGGGACGAAAUUGACAACGAAAUCGAUAACUGACAACGGGUUUAACCCAAUUUGGGACGAGACUUGUCAAUUUGAGAUUGCAAAUCCGGAUUUUGCACUCCUUAGAUUCGUCGUUCAGGACGAAGACGUUUUUGGAGACAAGAAUUUCAUUGGUCAAGCCACUUAUCCUGUGCGCUGCUUGAGAACGGGAUACAGGAGUGUAACGCUAAAAAAUAAUUACAGCGAAGAUCUUGAACUCGCUGCGCUUCUCGUUCAUAUCAGGAUCGCUGUGAUAUCCGUAAGAUAAAAAGGAAAUAAUAUUUUUCGGGAGAAUCAUCGAUAGAACGUUCGCUAUGAUUGCGCCGAUAGUAAAUUUAUUGGAAAAAGUGAAAAACAUCCAAAUUGAGUCCUAUUUACAAUGAGGUUAAUUAGCAUUAAUGAACGUAUCUAUACGUUUUUCAAACAAAUACGAACAUUUUUAAAUAAAAUUAGUUUCACAUAAAAAAUCCUUUUUUUUACUCAAAAUUAUAAUUCUAGUGCUCCAUGGAUAUUGCGUGAAAAGAGCUCAGUCGGUUUAAUGAGUGAAAACUGCACUCACGACAUUUAACAAAUCAUUGAAAAUUCAUUAUUCACUUUUUUUCAUAUCCAAACAUAUCAGUUAUGUAGAUAUUAGUAAACUGAGAGUCAAUAACUUUAGCAGUAAUAGUUUUAAAAUUGACUUAACACGGAGGGGUUACAAGGAUUAUACUUAAUGCCGAGCCUAUCGUCUUUCUUACUCCAGUAUUAGCGGAGUCACUGUUUUGAGAAGAAAUUUUAAAACAUUUAAAAGGGUAUCUACUGUUCAGGGUCGAAAACCUCAAAGUUGUGUCUCGAUCGAUGAGCUAUUUCACCAUCAAAUGCUCAUGUUCCCCAUCAUUUAUUUGACUUUAUAUGAAUCAAUUUUUGACUUUAUUAUUGUUUUUAAGCUUUUCCCUCGCUUACCAUUUCAAUGUAAAAAAAAAGAACUCGCAUUAUUUCAUCCGAUCCAGAAAAAUUAUGUUUGGGAAUCAAUUGGAGAAUUUUUUUAAUAUAUUUUUUUUAAUGUUUUGAAAUGAUUAAAAUAAUUCUGAAAAUUUAUUACUUUUAUCACGAAUCAAGCAAAAUUAUACUUUCAAAUUUUCCAAAUGGAAGAACGUUAAAAAGCUUGUAAUGUUACGAAAUUUAUGGAAACGAUUUCAAACUCCAAUGAUUGAGAUGACAUCAACUACAAAUAUUAAAUGCAUAUUUUGAAAACUAAGAAAAUGUAUGCAAAAAUCACCUAUUUUAGUACUCGCAAAAGAUUAAAAUGACUCUAUUUACAACCAGUACAUGAUAGGUCGUUCAAAAUACUGGUUAGCGAAACAAAGAUGGCAAAUCCAAAAAUAUUUUGUAUAAGAUUAUUGUCCUGUACUUGUAUUAGUAUCGAAUAUACAUAAUAAAAAACUGAAAUAUUGUUACUUCA
rnacentral:misc_RNA from 1 species